rnacentral:rRNA from 1 species
AACGAACGCUGGCGGCAGGCCUAACACAUGCAAGUCGAGCGGGACCUUCGGGUCUAGCGGCGGACGGGUUAGUAACACGUGGGAACGUACCUUCUGCUACGGAAUAGCCUCGUGAAACUGGGAGUAAUACCGUAUGUGCCCUUUUGGGGAAAGAUUUAUCGGCAGGAGAUCGGCCCGCGUCUGAUUAGGUAAUUGGUGAGGUAAUGGCUCACCAAGCCUACGAUCAGUAGCUGGUUUGAGAGGAUGAUCAGCAACACUGGGACUGAGACACGGCCCAGACUCCUACGGGAGGCAGCAGUGGGGAAUCUUAGACAAUGGGGGCAACCCUGAUCUAGCCAUGCCGCGUGAGUGAUGAAGGCCUUAGGGUCGUAAAGCUCUUUCGCUGGGGAAGAUAAUGACGGUACCCAGUAAAGAGACCCCGGCUAACUCCGUGCCAGCCGCCGCGGUAAAAC